GUUUUAAUAAUUUAAUAAAAAUAAUGAUUUUGUAAAUCAAAAAUAAGAAAAUAUCUUUUAAAACU
rnacentral:tRNA from 1 species